CCUACGGGAGGCAGCAGUGAGGAAUAUUGGUCAAUGGCCGGAAGGCUGAACCAGCCAUGCCGCGUGAAGGUCAGUGCCCUAUGGGCGUUAAACUUCUUUUGUGCGGGAGCAAUAAUGGUCACGUGUGGCCAGACGAGAGUACCGUACGAAUAAGCAUCGGCUAACUCCGUGCCAGCAGCCGCGGUAAUACGGGGGAUGCAAGCGUUAUCCGGAUUUAUUGGGUUUAAAGGGUGCGUAGGCUGUGAGGUAAGUCAGCGGUGAAAUGCCCCGGCUCAACGGGGUGAAGUGCCAUUGAUACUGCCUGGCUGGAAUGCGGAUGCGGUGGGAGGAAUGUGUGGUGUAGCGGUGAAAUGCAUAGAUAUCACACAGAACACCGAUUGCGAAGGCAUCUCACGAAUCCGCGAUUGACGCUGAUGCACGAAAGCGUGGGUAUCAAACAGGAUUAGAUACCCCGGUAGUC
rnacentral:rRNA from 1 species